rnacentral:tRNA from 1 species
GCUCAGUUAGUUAAGUGUCUGACUCUUGAUCUCAACUCAGGUCUUGAUACCAGGGUUGUGAGUUCAAGCCCCACACUGGGCU